rnacentral:rRNA from 1 species
GAUGAACGCUGGCGGCGUGCCUAAUACAUGCAAGUCGAGCGAACAGACGAGGAGCUUUCUCCUCUGACGUUAGCGGCGGACGGGUGAGUAACACGUGGAUAACCUACCUAUAAGACUGGGAUAACUUCGGGAAACCGGAGCUAAUACCGGAUAAUAUAUUGAACCGCAUGGUUCAAUAGUGAAAGACGGUUUUGCUGUCACUUAUAGAUGGAUCCGCGCCGGAUUAGCUAGUUGGUAAGGUAACGGCUUACCAAGGCAACGAUGCGUAGCCGACCUGAGAGGGUGAUCAGCCACACUGGAACUGAGACACGGUCCAGACUCCUACGGGAGGCAGCAGUAGGGAAUCUUCCACAAUGGGCGAAAGCCUGACGGAGCAACGCCGCGUGAGUGAUGAAGGUCUUCGGAUCGUAAAGCUCUGUUAUUAGGGAAGAACAAAUGUGUAAUAAACUAUGCACGUCUUGACGGUACCUAAUCAGAAAGCCACGGCUAACUACGUG